rnacentral:lncRNA from 1 species
GGCGGCAGGUUCUUCCGCCGAGGUAGCCUGUCAAUCUUCCCCGUUUCCUCCCCAGGGUGACCGAGCUGCUCCCUCCCUUCCAGCGGCGGAUCCAGCCCGAGGAGCUGUGGCUCUACAGGAACCCGUACGUGGAGGCGGAAUACUUCCCCACCGGCCGCAUGUUUGUGCGUGAGCUGCCCUCCCGCCCUCCUCCGCUGGCAGGGACUCCUCCCCUGCCUUGAGUUCCAGGGCUAGGGCGAGGCGUCUGGUGGGCAAUCUGAGCCCCGAUCUUGGUUAGUGCGCGGCAGCUGGUGCUUUAGGCCAGGAGGGACUUGGUUUUACCGACCCUGUGUUUUACCUUCAGGUCAUUGCCUUUCUCACUCCACUGUCCCUGAUCUUCCUCGCCAAGUUUCUAAGGAAAGCUGACGCUACCGACAGCAAGCAAGCCUGCCUCGGUAAGUCGCCCUUGUUCCAGUUGUUCCUGUCUUAGUGUUGGCAAGUAGCUAUGGGGUUCAGCUACUCUGUACCCCUAAAGUAUGUCUUUUUACCCCAUGAGACCAAAAAGCAGUACUGAUGAGAAUGUGCUUAAUAACACAGGCGCCACACAGGUGUUCCUUUUUGUUUGUUUGUUUUUUCGAGACAGGGUUUCUCUGUGUAGCCCUGUCUGUCCUGGAACUCACUUUGUAGACCAGGCUGGCCUUGAACUCAGAAAUCCACCUGCCUCUGCCUCCCAAGUGCUGGGAUUAAAGGCGUGUGCCACCACGCCCGGCCAGGUGUUCCUUAUUAACACAGACACCACACAGGUGUUCCCUAUUAACACAGGUGCCACAUAGGUGUUCCUCAGUGCUCCACUUCUCUGCCCCUAGGCCGUUUGGGUUUUUAUUCUGGUUGGGUUCUAUCUCAAAGCAAUGAAGGCUCUACUCAUGAGGUGGUGGCUUACUCUUCUCCAAGCAGAUGGCACUAACGGCUUCUUUGCUUUCCAGCUGCCAGCCUUGCCCUAGCUCUGAAUGGUGUCUUUACCAACAUAAUCAAACUGAUAGUGGGCAGGUAAGUGAGAAGCCUUGGCACUCAAACCUCCCUGAGCGCCCCCCACACACACACCACCACAUUCUCAAGCAGUGUUUACCCGGAUUCUCAGACUAGUCUCUCCUUUCUCACCAGAACUCCCUCUCCCUGCCCUCUGCCUGUUCCAAGUGUACCACCUGGUCUGCGUCCUGUCCUGAGUAUUUCCCACAGCGACCACCUUUAUGUACCUAAAGCUGCAGUAUGACUAGCUGCUCUGUGCUAAGAUACAAUCAUAUGCUAGAGACUUUCUUGAACAUUGGCCGCGUGGCUAAGGCCUUUUUCUCAGUAUAAACACUAAUCUCACCCCAUUACAUUAUUUUGCCUAUGACAUUAGUGGUCAACAGAUUAUUGACAUCUACUAUUACUGAAAAAUACUUCCUGAGAGAGUAAAUUAUAUUUCUUCCAGGCCCCGCCCAGACUUCUUCUACCGCUGCUUCCCUGAUGGGCUGGCCCAUUCUGAUCUGACGUGCACGGGGGACGAGGAUGUGGUGAACGAGGGCCGAAAGAGCUUCCCCAGUGGACAUUCUUCCUGUAUGAGUUUCAUGGGAACUACUUAAAUACUUACAUGUCCAUGUUCCGCUCUUUGUGUGUGUGUGUGUGUGUGUACACCUGUACAUGUACGUGUGCACACGCAAAUGGUAUAGGGGCUGGAAGAAGGUGUGUGAUCCCCUGGAGGUGGGGUCAGACCAGUGUGAGUGCCACGUUGGGGAACUGAACCAAGGUCCUCUCAAAAGCUAACUGCUGCCGACUCAACUCUUGGCUCCUCCAGCUCUGAUACCUACUUUAAAUAGAGUUACAUUUAACCUUAAAGCUUUGGAGGAAUGAGCCAUCUCUUACUAGUC